AGUGAACGCUGGCGGUAGGCCUAACACAUGCAAGUCGAACGGCAGCACAGUAAGAGCUUGCUCUUACGGGUGGCGAGUGGCGGACGGGUGAGGGAUACAUCGGAAUCUACUUUUUCGUGGGGGAUAACGUAGGGAAACUUACGCUAAUACCGCAUACGACCUACGGGUGAAAGCAGGGGAUCUUCGGACCUUGCGCGAUUGAAUGAGCCGAUGUCGGAUUAGCUAGUUGGCGGGGUAAAGGCCCACCAAGGCGACGAUCCGUAGCUGGUCUGAGAGGAUGAUCAGCCACACUGGAACUGAGACACGGUCCAGACUCCUACGGGAGGCAGCAGUGGGGAAUAUUGGACAAUGGGCGCAAGCCUGAUCCAGCCAUACCGCGUGGGUGAAGAAGGCCUUCGGGUUGUAAAGCCCUCUUGUUGGGAAAGAAAAGCAGCAGGUUAAUACCCCGCUGUUCUGACGGUACCCAAAGAAUAAGCACCGGCUAACUUCGUG
rnacentral:rRNA from 1 species